UGCAGUCGAGCGGUAACAGAUCCAGCUUGCUGGAUGCUGACGAGCGGCGGACGGGUGAGUAAUGCAUAGGAAUCUGCCCGAUAGUGGGGGAUAACCUGGGGAAACCCAGGCUAAUACCGCAUACGUCCUACGGGAGAAAGGGGGCUUCGGCUCCCGCUAUCGGAUGAGCCUAUGUCGGAUUAGCUAGUUGGUGAGGUAAAGGCUCACCAAGGCAACGAUCCGUAUCUGGUCUGAGAGGAUGAUCAGCCACAUCGGGACUGAGACACGGCCCGAACUCCUACGGGAGGCAGCAGUGGGGAAUAUUGGACAAUGGGGGCAACCCUGAUCCAGCCAUGCCGCGUGUGUGAAGAAGGCCCUCGGGUUGUAAAGCACUUUCACCGAGGAAGAACGCCUAGCGGUUAAUACCCGCUAGGAAAGACAUCACUCGCAUAAAAAACACCGGCUAACUCCCUGCCAGCAGCCGCGCUAGUACGGAGGGUGCAA
rnacentral:rRNA from 1 species